CUUUUUUGCAAAACUACGCGCACUAAUCCACUCCCCCUCCCACAAACCCUAGCCGCCGCCGCCAGUCCCCUCCUCCCUCUCGUUCAUUGCUCAGUAUGUAUCAUCGAGAAUGGUACGGAUUCCCAAUAAACUGAUGUUGGGUGAUCUAAUAACUGAAGGCAAAAUGAAGUAAUAUAAUCGCAUCAAUUUGUAAUGUUGUGGGGAGUUGAUUUUGUUUUUGUUUUUCUGUACUGAUGAGGUGUAGGCUAGCAGCGCCCGCCAACCGGCACUGAGGUAAGGAGUUCCACAACCACAGCACUCAGAUGCAAAUAAUGGGCAUGCCUCUGUCUAAGCUACUAAGCAGAGAAGCACACUGCAAAUAAGAGCUGAGUGAGCUGGGAGCUGCCAAUCUCUGUUUUCUCUUUUUCUUGGAUUGCAAUUUUUGAUUUUAGAUUGGAUAUUUGAGAGAAUGCAUAGGAAAGGGAAAGGAAAAGGGAAAGGGAUGCCUUUACAUUGUACUUAUCUUUCCUUACGUUACCUAUCUCAGAUGUGGUCAUAGUAAUAUACUUUUUUCUUUGUGCCACUUAUCUUUCCUUUCUAUGCUCCACUGAUAUAUCAGCUGGUCCAUGUGCCAUUUGGUGAUUGCUGCUUACAUAGUUAUUUUUAUUUAUCUCCGUACGCUAUGUGAUGUUAUAUUCCCUUCUCGAUAUAUGUUCAGCCAUUCAAUCAGUUUUGAUUAGUUAAUGUUCAUGCAUCAGAUUUGUUAAUACAAAAUGUUCUCUGAUCUGGUAUUCAGCUUGGCUACCAGUACAUGUUACAAGUUCAAUCUUCCACAAGCAAUUGAGAAAGGUUGCAGGUGAGAGGCAAGCAGAAGCAUGACAGGAAUAUUGAUUUACUUACAUGAUAACCGUUGUGCCAUUAGUUUCAUCUGCAUGUAACCUAAAUAAUUUCACGGUGCUCAACUGGAUCACUGUGGGUGUAGUUUCAUUGCUCAUUUCCCAUCCUUGGACAAUCGGAGGUCAUUGAGAUUAAACUCUGCUUGCUUCGCAUCCUCCAGUAAGUUAUGUUCAGCAUGGAUGGUGACUUUGGUCCAUUGCUUGAGCUUAUCAAGUUACACAGAAUGUAUGGGCUUUUGUUGGUCAUGGACGUUCCUUGGACAGUUGGAGAUCAUUGUGAUGUUGGUGUAAUUGGGCUUACUAAGUGCUCUGGUACUCAUGGGCUUCUUCCCUGUUUUGACACCUUUUUGUUAGUAUCAAUUCAGAGAGAGACAAUUUGCGUACAUCCCUUGGAUUUCAUGAUCUGGACAAUCUUGGUUUGCAGCCCCAAGUAAAGGGCAAGUGUACGAAUUUAGCCACAAAAGCGACGCCAACGAGGAUCGCCAUCGACGGUGACCGCUGCUCCAUCGAUCCUUCUUCCCCCGUUUGCUACUCUCACUUCACAGCCACAAUCAUGUCUUCCGCAGUGUUCGCAUCAAUGAGGCUGAAUGCAACAAAUCAAAGCUACUUGCCUGUGCCAAUCACACUUGCGACAGCAUAUAAGAUGCAGCAUGGAGAUAAUCUGAAGUUAAAAACUUCCCAUGGCUUGAAGAUAAAGAUCAAAAUCAAGGAAGUAGCUAGCACACUGUACAUGACGACAGGAUGGAGAUAAUCUGAAGUUAGAAACUGGAGAAACGAUUCUUUUCAGGAUGCCAUCAAGGUCUAAAGCGUGUGUUAUGAUACUGAACAGACAAGGCCUUAUUAGAUGUCCAGUGAAGACCCCAUCCAACAGCUCAUCAGCUAACAAAAGGUCCCCUGAUCCAUCAGGUCAAUUAACCAGAGCAAGCACAUUUGACCAUGCAUCUUCUAGCAAAAGCGUUCCAUUUCUGAGGAAUGGAACAGGCAGUAACAAAAGAAAACCUAGCAGACACCUCCUUCUGCCACCAGAUUAAGCUCACAGCUGAAUUGAAGAGUUACAUCAAAGAGAUUGCAGAUUGUCUAGAAGAAUCAAACAAGUUCUAUGUCGUGCGUAUGAACAGAACAUUCAUGGAACAGGACAGAGUGUACUUUGCGACUGAGUUUUCAAAGAAAUACAUUGUGAACUUGGUUCGAGGCAAGACAGCAAACAUUAGAGUGCAGAUUGCAGGUCGACCCUCAACAACUUAACAUCAGGGUGGUUAGCUUUGCAGCAGCCAACAGCAUCAACUUACACAAUCUGCAUCUUCCACUUUUAUAGGACACAAGUCACCUCAUGCUCACCAUAGAUGCUCUGUGAAAGUUACCUGCAUCUUCAGUAGUCGCUGCUAUUAUCUACCCUGGAACAGCUACUAUAAUUCUCUCUAUUAUCCUUUGCUUGCGGUCUAUCUAACUUCACUUGCUCAGUAAGCACGUGACCUAUAACUGCUUAUCAUUGUCCUCAGCUCCUUUUGUUAUUCAUAAGCUGAGUGAACAAUUAACCACUUUAUGUACAAACAGCUGGCUUGUUAUACUACAGGUUACUAUGGUACUAUUUGUUGUUUCUUUUUA